AAGUCGUAACAAGGUUUCCGUAGGUGAACCUGCGGAAGGAUCAUUAACACGUAUCCACGUAUCCACCCACCGCGCAUCUGUUUUCAGCUCGCCCUUGAGGGUACACGAAUUGGUUGCCGUUGAGGAGAGUAAUGGGAUGGGACUCGCUUCUUUUGCGCGUCAGCUCUCCUCGACUUACUGGAGUUCGCUCCGACAAUUGCAGUGCUCUCAAGGCAAUCCUCCGCUCACCUCUCCGUCCAUGAGGCUGAGUGGCAGGAAACCAUUUAUUUAUACACCUAUUUCACAUCUUUUUGCUAGUUGAUUUUUAACUGUUGCUGCCUCGCUUCGGCGUUGCUGGCACACGUUUAAUUACUUGAACGUAAAAAUACAACUCUUAGCAAUGGAUAUCUAGGUUCUC
rnacentral:misc_RNA from 1 species